GAAACUUUAACAGAACCCUUCGGGGCGAAGAUAAAGUGGAUUAGCGGCGGACGGGUGAGUAACACGUGAGUAACCUGCCUUAGACAUUGGGAUAGCCUCGGGAAACCGGGAUUAAUACCAAAUAAAAUCAUAAUGACACAUGUCAUAACGAUCAAAACUCCGGUGGUCUAAGAUGGACUCGCGUCCCAUUAGCUAGUUGGUAGAGUAAAAGCCUACCAAGGCGACGAUGGGUAGCCGGCCUGAGAGGGUGAACGGCCACAUUGGAACUGAGAAACGGUCCAAACUCCUACGGGAGGCAGCAGUGGGGAAUAUUGCACAAUGGAGGGAACUCUGAUGCAGCGACGCCGCGUGAACGAAGAAGGCUUUCGAGUCGUAAAGUUCUUUUAUAUGGGAAGAUAAUGACGGUACCAUAAGAAAAAGCCCCGGCUAACUACGUGCCAGCAGCCGCGGUAAUACGUAGGGGGCUAGCGUUGUCCGGAAUCACUGGGCGUAAAGGGUUCGCAGGCGGAAAUGCAAGUCAGAUGUAAAAGGCAGUAGCUUAACUACUGUAAGCAUUUGAAACUGCAUAUCUUGAGAAGAGUAGAGGUAAGUGGAAUUUUUAGUGUAGCGGUGAAAUGCGUAGAUAUUAAAAAGAAUACCGGUGGCGAAGGCGACU
rnacentral:rRNA from 2 species